rnacentral:rRNA from 1 species
GUGGGGAAUUUUGCGCAAUGGGCGAAAGCCUGACGCAGCAACGCCGCGUGGGUGAUGAAGUCCCUUGGGACUUAAAACCCUGUCGGUUGGGACGAAACGGUCCGUAAGGAUCACUGACUGUACCAGCAGAGGAAGCCCCGGCUAACUCCGUGCCAGCAGCCGCGGUAAUACGGGGGGGGCAAGCGUUGUUCGGAAUUACUGGGCGUAAAGGGCGUGUAGGCGGCUUGGCAAGUCAGUUGUGAAAUCCCCAGGCUCAACUUGGGAACUGCAACUGAAACUGCCAGGCUAGAGUUCAGGAGAGGAGGGCGGAACUCCAAGUGUAGCGGUGAAAUGCGUAGAUAUUUGGAGGAACACCUGUGGCGAAGGCGGCUCUCUGGACUGAAACUGACGCUGAGGCGCGAAAGCUAGGGGAGCAAACGGGAUUAGAAACCCCAGUAGUCC